rnacentral:lncRNA from 1 species
GAAAGCAACCUAUUUAUAGGAAGAGGGGGGGGAGUACUGAUGGUACCCCCAAGUUACCAGCCCAGGCCCGCGAAGAAGUCUAGAAGCGAGGCCCAGCAAGACGAAUAGAAGAAAGCCCAAGUCAUUCCGAGGACAUUAGCCCGUUCGGAUCGUCCGGGCGGCCCCAUCAGUCCUACGAACGUUUGGUCCAGGCCCACGAAGAAGUUUAGAAACGAGGACCAACAAGACGAAUAGAAGAAAGCCCAAGUCAUUCUGAGGACACUGGCCCGUUCGGAUCGUCCGGGCGGCCCCAUCAGCCCCACGAACAUUCGGCCGACCAGGCCGGCUGGAAAGACCCAUCAGC